GUCAAGUUCUAGAACAAGUAGCAUGGUGAGUGGAAAAAUGAGGGCCAAACUGUACGUCUAGGAGGACAUCUUGGCUCUGACUAAGUGUGCUGAAUCUUCAUCCUUCACCCCUUUGGCUACAUGGAAGGUGACUUCCUGGCAAGUUGCUGUUAGUUAUAGCAUUAUGUUGACACAUAAUUUUGCACCUUCAACACUGAAAUGAGAACCUGACUGUUUCCUGGCUUUCUGUUGCGGUAUGCUGAGGAGAGGGGACCGGACAGCAGCCUCGCCAUCUGACAUUUCAAAGUGACUUCAUUAUCAGCCAGUCAAAGCACAAAAAGAUAUUAUAUAUCAUCGGAAACCCAGCCUCACCAGCCAGACGCGGUGCUGGGCAUCUCUGUACUUAGCACAGGGAACCUGAUCAAUUAGUCCAUUUAAAGGGAGCUCCCCAGUCAGCCUCCCUCUGGAAAAUAGGUGGGCUGAUGUGUGAAUACAUUUAAUUGCAAUAGUGAACAAGACUUCAAGAUUUCUUCUUAGAUCAUCUUGGCUUUCGAAUUGAAUGAGGAGUAUGAGCAUGAAGACCAAGAAGUCAGAAGUGCAAGAGGCUGUCACCGGCAACACACUUUCUGCCCAUUUCUUCUUUUGUUUUGUUUCCAAAUAAACCCCGACUGUGGUUUUACUAGCUGAUUGCCUUCUGGAGGUUGACACUUGAUACACAUUUGUCAUUUAAUCCUCAUAACGACCCUAUUAAGUGGAAUUGCUUAUAAAAU